CUCAGUAGCUAAGUGUAUAACGCGUUGGCGUUUGAAGCGAACGGUACUGGGUUCGAGUCCCAGAGUGGGCA
rnacentral:tRNA from 1 species